AUCGCUUCUCGACCUUUUGGCUAAAAUCAAGUGUGG
rnacentral:snRNA from 1 species